CAGCCUCCUUCAGUGUCGCUGGGAUUUUAUACUGAAGCCAAAUUGACAAACUAUCUACCGAUACAGCUACAAUGAGCUCAACUAGUGCAGGGCUAACCCUGUCUGGUCAAGUAACACAAGUCUCAAGAAACUUCACAGCUAAAGGAAGCUGCAAUGCUGCCUUGAAAGCCUCCAGACCUGGAGUGAGGUACCAAGACCCACACCUGAACAAAUAUUGGAUAGACCUGGAUAUAUUAACUUUUGAAUAACUACAUUCCUGCCCUCUGCGCCAGCAAUCGUGGAGAGAGACUAAUACCAGCGUGUUGAGAGAGAAAAUAACUAUCCAUCAUCAGGAAACCAUCACUUUUUUCUGCAAUGGGUAUAUCAAUAAA